rnacentral:rRNA from 1 species
GACGAACGCUGGCGGCGUGCUUAACACAUGCAAGUCGAACGGUAAGGCCCCAGCUUGCUGGGGUACACGAGUGGCGAACGGGUGAGUAACACGUGGGUGACCUGCCCCGCACUUCGGGAUAAGCCUGGGAAACUGGGUCUAAUACCGGAUAGGACCGCACCGUGAGGGUGUGGUGGAAAGUUUUUCGGUGUGGGAUGGGCCCGCGGCCUAUCAGCUUGUUGGUGGGGUAAUGGCCUACCAAGGCGGCGACGGGUAGCCGGCCUGAGAGGGUGGACGGCCACAUUGGGACUGAGACACGGCCCAGACUCCUACGGGAGGCAGCAGUGGGGAAUAUUGCACAAUGGGCGGAAGCCUGAUGCAGCGACGCCGCGUGGGGGAUGACGGCCUUCAGGUUGUAAACUCCUUUCACCAUCGACGAAGGUUUUCUGACGGUAGAUGGAGAAGAAGCACCGGCUAACUACGU